rnacentral:rRNA from 1 species
AGAGGAAGUAAAAGUCGUAACAAGGUUUCCGUAGGUGAACCUGCGGAAGGAUCAUUAUCGUACAACGGAGGUGCGAGGGCUGUCGCUGACCUUCUCGAAGGUCGUGCACGCCCGAAGCCCUCUCAAAAUCCAUCUCACCCUUUGUGCAUCACCGCGUGGGUCCCCCUUUGCGGGGAGGGCUCACGUUUUCACACAAAACUCGAUACAGUGUAGAAUGUUCAUUUUUGCGGUCAGACGCAAUCAAUACAACUUUCAACAACGGAUCUCUUGGCUCUCGCAUCGAUGAAGAACGCAGCGAAAUGCGAUACGUAAUGUGAAUUGCAGAAUUCAGUGAAUCAUCGAAUCUUUGAACGCACCUUGCGCCCCUUGGCAUUCCGAGGGGCACACCCGUUUGAGUGUCGUCGAAUCCUCAAAACCCCUCUUCUUUGAAAAGGAGUUUUGGACUUGGAGGUUURAUGCUCGCUUUUCGAAGGCGAGCUCCUCUCAAAAGAAUCAGUGGGGUCUGCUUUGCUGGUCCUUGACGUGAUAAGAUGUUUCUACGUUUUGGAUUUGGCACGGUCCCCUGCUCCUAAUCGUCUCAUGGACAACGAUGGUGCUUCGGUCGACCCCCGUCUACGUUGGCGGGGAGAGGCUGAACCCACGAAAGAAAUAAUCUUGACCUCAAAUCGGGUGAGACUACCCGCC